ensembl:lncRNA
UGGGUGGAGGGUAGCUAGAAACAGUGACUAAGAUUCAGGGCAGGGUACUGGGUUGAUGCCGGCAAGUGGUGACUAAGGUUCAGGGCAGGGUACUGAGUGGAGGAAAGCUAGUAACUGUGACGAAUGUUCAGGGCAGGGUACUGAGUGGAGGCUGGCUAGUGGUAACUAAGGUUUAGGGCAGGGUACUGGGUGGAGGCUGGAUAGUGACAGUAACUAAGGUUCAGGGCAGGGUACUGGGUGGAGGCUGGAUAGUGACAGUAACUAAGAUUCAGGGCAGGGUACUGGGGAAGGCUAGUAACAGUGACUAAGGUUCAGGGCAGGGUACUGGGUGGAGGCUGGAUAGUGACAGUGACUAAGGUUCAGGACCGGGUACUGGGUGGAGCCUGGAUAGUGACAGUGACUAAGGUUCAGGGCAGGGUACACGGUGGAGGCUGGAUAGUUACAGUAACUAAGGUUCAGGGCAGGGU